rnacentral:rRNA from 1 species
GAUGAACGCUGGCGGCGUGCCUAAUACAUGCAAGUCGAGCGAACAGACGAGGAGCUUGCUUCUCCGACGUUAGCGGCGGACGGGUGAGUAACACGUGGAUAACCUACCUAUAAGACUGGGAUAACUUCGGGAAACCGGAGCUAAUACCGGAUAAUAUAUUGAACCGCAUGGUUCAAUAGUGAAAGACGGUUUUGCUGUCACUUAUAGAUGGAUCCGCGCCGCAUUAGCUAGUUGGUAAGGUAACGGCUUACCAAGGCAACGAUGCGUAGCCGACCUGAGAGGGUGAUCGGCCACACUGGAACUGAGACACGGUCCAGACUCCUACGGGAGGCAGCAGUAGGGAAUCUUCCGCAAUGGGCGAAAGCCUGACGGAGCAACGCCGCGUGAGUGAUGAAGGUCUUCGGAUCGUAAAACUCUGUUAUUAGGGAAGAACAAAUGUGUAAGUAACUAUGCACGUCUUGACGGUACCUAAUCAGAAAGCCACGGCUAACUACGUG